rnacentral:rRNA from 1 species
CCUUCGGGUUGUAAACUGCUUUUUGUNCNNAACGAAAAGCUUUGGGUUAAUACCCNGGAGUCAUGACGGUACCGUAAGAAUAAGCACCGGCUAACUACGUGCCAGCAGCCGCGGUAAUACGUAGGGUGCAAGCGUUAAUCGGAAUUACUGGGCGUAAAGCGUGCGCAGGCGGUUUUGUAAGACAGAGGUGAAAUCCCCGGGCUCAACCUGGGAACUGCCUUUGUGACUGCAAGGCUAGAGUACGGCAGAGGGGGGUGGAAUUCCGCGUGUAGCAGUGAAAUGCGUAGAUAUGCGGAGGAACACCGAUGGCGAAGGCAACCCCCUGGGCCUGUACUGACGCUCAUGCACGAAAGCGUGGGGAGCAAACAGGAUUAGAUACCCUGGUAGUCCACGCCCUAAACGAUGUCAACUGGUUGUUGGGUCUUAACUGACUCAGUAACGAAGCUAACGCGUGAAGUUGACCGCCUGGGGAGUACGGCCGCAAGGUUGAAACUCAAAUGAAUUGACGGANNAAUUAAG